rnacentral:misc_RNA from 1 species
AUUUAUAGGAUCAGCUUGUUUAGGAGAACCUGCUUCAGCUGCUAUAUCUUUAUCAUCCUCAUCUGAUGAUACUCCAGCUGGUUUGCUUUGUUCAACUUUAUUUUCAUCAGCAGCAUGAGCAUCAUUUUGUUCAACAGUUCCAGAUUGGCAAAUAGAGGCAACUAUUUCACUGUAAUCUUCUAAAGAAAUACCCAAAGAUUUCACAGCAUGUUGCAAGUAAGGCUUAACUUUGGUAGCACAACUUUCAAGUACUUUUUCUCCCAACUUACAUGCGACAGAUAGAACUUCCUCAUUGCCCCUUUUCACACUGGCUAAAAGAGGAGAAAGAAGUUCUAGAGAGAUGUCUUUCUUCUAAGACAAGGGUCAUAAUGAUCUCCAUGGAUGAAAAAAUAUUCUCUGAGUGAUCAUCCCUUAUAGCAUUAAGGAAAUGCUGGAACAUCUCAAUUAUC